GAUGAACGCUGGCGGCGUGCCUAAUACAUGCAAGUCGAGCGAACAGACGAGGAACUUGCUCCUCUGACGUUAGCGGCGGACGGGUGAGUAACACGUGGAUAACCUACCUAUAAGACUGGGAUAACUUCGGGAAACCGGAGCUAAUACCGGAUUAUAUAUUCAACCGCAUGGUUCAAUAGUGAAAGACGGUUUUGCUGUCACUUAUAGAUGGAUCCGCGCCGCAUUAGCUAGUUGGUAAGGUAACGGCUUACCAAGGCAACGAUGCGUAGCCGACCUGAGAGGAUGAUCAGCCACACUGGAACUGAGACACGGUCCAGACUCCUACGGGAGGCAGCAGUAGGGAAUCUUGCACAAUGGGCGAAAGCCUGACGGAGCAACGCCGCGUGAAUGAAGAAGGUCUUCGGGUCGUAAAACACUUUUAGUGGGGAGGAAGAAAGGAGAAAGAAAAUAUGCGCUUCUUGACGGUACCUAAUCAAAAAGCCACGGCUAACUACGUG
rnacentral:rRNA from 1 species